rnacentral:rRNA from 1 species
GUGAACGCUGGCGGUAGGCCUAACACAUGCAAGUCGAACGGCAGCACAGAGGAGCUUGCUCCUUGGGUGGCGAGUGGCGGACGGGUGAGGAAUACAUCGGAAUCUACUCUUUCGUGGGGGAUAACGUAGGGAAACUUACGCUAAUACCGCAUACGACCUUCGGGUGAAAGCAGGGGAUCGCAAGACCUUGCGCGAUUGAAUGAGCCGAUGUCGGAUUAGCUAGUUGGCGGGGUAAAGGCCCACCAAGGCGACGAUCCGUAGCUGGUCUGAGGGGAGGAUCAGCCACACUGGAACGGAGACACGAGCCAGACUCCUACGGGAGGCAGCAGUGGGGAAUAUUGGACAAUGGGCGCAAGCCUGAUCCAGCCAUACCGCGUGGGUGAAGAAGGCCUUCGGGUUGUAAAGCCCUUUUGUUGGGAAAGAAAAGCACACGGUUAAUACCCGAGUGUUCUGACGGUACCCAAAGAAUAAGCACCGGCUAACUUCGUGCCAGCCGCCGCGGUAA